AGAGAUUGAACAUAAGAGUUUGAUCCUGGCUCAGAUUGAACGCUGGCGGCAUGCUUUACACAUGCAAGUCGGACGGCAGCACAGGGAAGCUUGCUUCUCGGGUGGCGAGUGGCGAACGGGUGAGUAACAUAUCGGAACGUACCGGGUAGCGGGGGAUAACUGAUCGAAAGAUCAGCUAAUACCGCAUACGUCUUGAGAGGGAAAGCAGGGGACCUUCGGGCCUUGCGCUAUCCGAGCGGCCGAUAUCUGAUUAGCUGGUUGGCGGGGUAAAGGCCCACCAAGGCGACGAUCAGUAGCGGGUCUGAGAGGAUGAUCCGCCACACUGGGACUGAGACACGGCCCAGACUCCUACGGGAGGCAGCAGUGGGGAAUUUUGGACAAUGGGCGCAAGCCUGAUCCAGCCAUGCCGCGUGUCUGAAGAAGGCCUUCGGGUUGUAAAGGACUUUUGUCAGGGAAGAAAAGGCCGUUGCCAAUAUCGGCGGCCGAUGACGGUACCUGAAGAAUAAGCACCGGCU
rnacentral:rRNA from 1 species